AGACGGAGGGGGCUAGCGUUGUUCGGAAUUACUGGGCGUAAAGCGCGCGUAGGCGGUUUUGCAAGCCAGAGGUGAAAUGCCUGAGCUCAACUUGGGAACUGCCUUUGGGACUGUGAGGCUUCGAGGACGGGAGAGGUGAGUGGAAUUCCCAGUGUAGAGGUGAAAUUCGUAGAUAUUGGGAAGAACACCAGUGGCGAAGGCGGCUCUCUGGACCGGACCUGACGCUGAGGCGCGAAAGCGUGGGGAGCAAACAGGAUUAGAUACCCCAGUAGUCC
rnacentral:rRNA from 1 species